CGGAGUUUUGUUGGAUUGUUUACCGUGUGUCUGUGUUCAAUGCGGGUUUCUUCGGCGAGCUGGAGCCUGUGGAUGUUCGUCUCUUGACUGCAAAGGGCGCAGUUGUUGGCGUUGUGCUUAAUAGCAUCAUUGGCGGUGCUUUUGCUGUCCUUCCCCUUGAGAGCAACCGGAGCGUUGCAGGCCGGAGGCUAGGAGGUUUCUGCCUUUUCAUAUUGGCUGCUUAGGUUGACUGUACGCCCCCUCCCCGUUGCGAGGAAGUCCCUGUGAAUCCCCGGUUGCGGUAUGUUGCUGUCUCAACUUUUAAUGAUUCUAUUUUACUAUUACAUAGGUGCUUAUAUGUCUUCAUUAACCUCUGUUGCACAGGUGGCCUGCGCACUGCAAGUAACUGAGGCUUCCUUCUCCCACUGACUGCUGUUUUGUUUACAGUGAGCUACAAUACAACUACCUUUUUAUCUGCGUCCUUCCCGCGUGCCCAGAUCCUCAGCGUGGUAAAGGGUCUGCAUGCGUAAUU